UACGUAGGGUGCAAGCGUUAAUCGGAAUUACUGGGCGUAAAGCGUGCGCAGGCGGUUAUUUAAGUCAGGUGUGAAAGCCCUGGGCUUAACCUAGGAAUUGCGCUUGAGACUGGAUAGCUUGGAGUGCGGCAGAGGGAGGUGGAAUUCCACGUGUAGCGGUGAAAUGCGUAGAUAUCUGGAGGAACACCGGUGGCGAAGGCGGCAUCCUGGACCGACACUGACGCUGAGGAGCGAAAGCCAGGGGAGCAAACGGG
rnacentral:rRNA from 1 species